UGGCCAGACUCCUACGGGAGGCAGCAGUGAGGAAUAUUGGUCAAUGGCCGAAGGGCUGAACCAGCCAAGCCGCGUGAAGGAAUAAGGCCCUACGGGUCGUAAACUUCUUUAGUCAGGGAACAAAGGGUGCCACGCGUGGCGCUGUGAGUGUACCUGAAGAAUAAGCAUCGGCUAACUCCGUGCCAGCAGCCGCGGUAAUACGGAGGAUGCGAGCGUUAUCCGGAUUUAUUGGGUUUAAAGGGUGCGCAGGCGGCGUGUCAAGUCAGCGGUAAAAUGUCGGGGCUCAACCCCGGCCGGCCGUUGAAACUGGCGUGCUCGAGUUGGAGAGAAGUAUGCGGAAUUCGUGGUGUAGCGGUGAAAUGCAUAGAUAUCACGAAGAACCCCGAUUGCGAAGGCAGCAUACCGGCGCUCAACUGACGCUCAUGCACGAAAGUGUGGGUAUCGAACAGGAUUAGAUACCCCGGUAC
rnacentral:rRNA from 1 species